GGACAGAGCUACAUUAUUCUUUAGUAGCCCAUAAAAUGUCAUCGCUAAGGAAAAACAAAUAUGUGAUUCUAUUUUGAAAUUAAGGCACACAGGAGAGAAAAUCCUUGCCACUGAGAUAACAAAGUAAAUGCAAAGAAAAAGAGUUUACUCGCACCUCUUGGCAGUAGAGGAAAACUCACUUUAUGAGUUUACCUACUCUUACUUAAUGUUACACCAUUAGCCAGGCUUUUUCCUUUUGUUUCAUGGGUGUUCCUCUCUCUUUCUUUCCCCAACAGAUUUUCACAUCUGGACCUUUCUCAAAUGCAUUUUGGGGGAAGAAAGACAAGUAUUAAUGGACUCCAGGCAGGAGCCAGUCUUUGUGGUUGUCCAAGUGCCCUGCCAGAACCCGAAAGACAUGAGCAGGGUUCUAAACCCAGCACUCCCGUGGCAGGAGGCUGUUCUCCCAGCAGGCAGGGAGAAGUAAAUGCAUCAUGUUCAUUUGGCAUAUCCAUGCAUCUGAUCCUGGUAAAUGUGGUAGGCCUCAAUUCAGGCUUGAAGAGCUGCUGCCAACAGCUGGUGGUUUUUCCAGGAGUACCAUUUGACAAAACAUCCUGGGUCUCUCUACAGAACCUCCUCAAAGAAGAUGACUGGAAAAUACUGUAAUCUAGCGAGAGAAACAAACAAAUAUUUCUUCCAACUGUUCUACCUAUUAAACAUACUAUGCAGCUUGUUUUGCAAAUCAUUCUUAUGACCAGUGGGAAAGUACAGGCCUAGAGCUUCAUGAGUGGGAAGAAAAUUUCCGCUUCAGUGUUUGCUUGUAGAUGUGUGCUUUGAGAUAACAUGAGUAGUAAAAUGCCAUUCUUCAGGUGAAAAGUGGAUUCUGUGCGGAGACCUAACUGCCUGGAAGUCUUACUUUCUCCAUGUUACACCAUCCUUCAGGUCUACAUGUUUGUUGUAGGAUGGAUUAGCUUUGAAAGAUUAGAUAUGGAUGUGGACAUGGAUAAGAAUGGAAUUAUUGAUGGUCCAAAGUCAUCUUUACUCUUCCUUAAGCAACUGAUUAUUAAACACAAGGGUGUCACACUCAAAUGAUAAACAACAUUUCCACAUCUGUGUAGUUUCAAUGCUUUCCUUCUUGGCUGAAGCUGGGAGUGGUGUGAGACAGGCACACUGAAAAGCAGAAUGAAGAGCACAGACCAUUUUGAUUAUUAAGGUGGCUGAAUGUUUGCCUUUAUAAACCAUUUUCAGUUGUGUUCAGCAGAGGUUCACCAACCCUUGACCAGUAUUGACUUCUGGUAGUUUGAUGUAACACUUGCAUAAUAAAUUAGAUACAAAUACACAAUAACUUUUCUAAGUCAAGGCAAGGGAAAAAACAGUUCCUGAGGUGCACUCAUGACUGAAGUUACAGCAUAAGCAGACCUAGAUAUCUACAACAGCUCAAAGGGACUGUGUCUUGUUUGUACUACAGCUAUUAGCCUUGGAGGAGCACAACUAUUGAAUUUCAUGUUUCCAGUUGUGAUAUGGUGUCAAAUAUGAGCUGAAUUUCUCUACAGAAAGGGUCCAGGCAGCCUGGGGAAGAGCAAUCACCUGAGAUAAAGCAGCAGUGGAGCGAGUUACUCUCAGAAAUUGUCCUUUGCUUGGUACUCUGAGGUGGACAUAGGGGGACUAGUGUCACUCCUCACUAUCCUUUUUUAAUUUAUCUAAGUCUAAGCUGGAGUACAGUUCUCUUAACAUGAAAAAUAAUUUCUCUGAGCCAGACACAGUGAAGGGAAGGAUCACAAUAAUAGACGUAAGACUGUGUUUUUCAGGUGUUUUGCUUUUUUCUCCUGACUUGCUGGUUAUAAUGGUGUGGUAUUUAGCAGCUUCUUUGUCACACUUAGACCUAUUGUAUAAUUUUUUACCUGUUAAGAUCAGACUUUGAUUGUUUUAUUGUAGUUUGUAUUUUUACAUGAAAAAUGUUUUCAUUGCUAUUCAGUAACAGAUGAAAAAUUAAUGCCAGUAGAAUAUUAAAUAUUUUCUUCACAAAUAAAUGCCUUACUCUACAAGUGAAA